GAUGAAGAACGUAGCGAAAUGCGAUAAGUAGUGUGAAUUGCAGAAUUCAGUGAAUCAUCGAAUCUUUGAACGCACAUUGCGCCCGCCAGUAUUCUGGCGGGCAUGCCUGUUCGAGCGUCAUUUCAACCCUCAAGCCCAGCUUGGUGUUGGGGAUCGGCACAGGCGCCCUCGGGCGCCCGCCGUCCCCUAAAUCUAGUGGCGGUCCCGCUGCAGCCUCCUCUGCGUAGUAGUUUUCUCCUCGCAAGGGCAGCUCGGUGGCGACCUCGCCGUAAAACCCCCAACUUCUGAAAGGUUGACCUCGAAUCAGGUAGGAAUACCCGCUGAACUUAAGCAUAUCAAUAAGCGGAGGA
rnacentral:misc_RNA from 1 species